AAUGAACGCUGGCGGCAGGCCUAACACAUGCAAGUCGAACGGAUCCUUCGGGAUUAGUGGCGGACGGGUGAGUAACGCGUGGGAACAUACCCUUUGGUACGGAAUAGCCUCGGGAAACUGGGAGUAAUACCGUAUGUGGUCGAGAGACGAAAGAUUUAUCGCCAAAGGAUUGGCCCGCGUCGGAUUAGGGAGUUGGUGGGGUAAUGGCCUACCAAGCCGACGAUCCAUAGCUGGUUUGAGAGGAUGAUCAGCCACACUGGGACUGAGACACGGCCCAGACUCCUGCGGGAGGCGGCAGUGGGGAAUCUUAGACAAUGGGGGAAACCCUGAUCUAGCCAUGCCGCGUGAUCGAUGAAGGCCUUAGGGUUGUAAAGAUCUUUCAGGUGGGAAGAUAAUGACUGUACCACCAGAAGAAGCCCCGGCUAACUCCGUGCCAGCCGCCGCCGUAA
rnacentral:rRNA from 1 species